rnacentral:rRNA from 1 species
UCUUGGUCAUUUAGAGGAAGUAAAAGUCGUAACAAGGUUUCCGUAGGUGAACCUGCGGAAGGAUCAUUAUUGUAUAGCAGAGGUGCAAAGGCUGUUGCUGAUCUUCAAACAAAGGUUGUGCACGCCUGAGUGCUCUCUUACAUCCAUAUCACCCAUUGUGCAUUACCGCGUAGGUCUCUUGUAACUAAGAGGCUUGCGUUUUUCACACAAACCUUUGAUGUAGUGUAGAAUGUAUUUUCUUUUUGCAGUAACAUGCAAAUCAAUACAACUUUCAACAACGGAUCUCUUGGCUCUUGCAUCGAUGAAGAACGCAGCGAAAUGCGAUAUGUAAUGUGAAUUGCAGAAUUCAGUGAAUCAUCGAAUCUUUGAACGCAUCUUGCGCCCCUUGGUAUUCUGAGGGGCACACCCGUUUGAGUGUCGUGAAAUUCUCAAAACUCUUUCUUUGAUCUUUUUGUGAUUAAGGAAUGGAUUUUGGACUUGGAGGACUAUCCAAUGCUUGCUCUCAGUUUUGAAAGUGAGCUCCUCUUAAAUAAAUUAGUGGGGUUUGCAUUGCUGAUCCUUAAUAUGAUAAGAAAUUUCUAUGUUUUGGAUUUUGCACUGUUCACCUACUUCUAAAAGUCUCUUGGACAAUAAUGGUGCUCUGGUUGCCCACUACCUUGUGUUGGUGAAAGGCUGGACUCAUUAAAAAUAAAAACCCUUGACCUCAAAUCGGGUGAGACUACCCGCUGAACUUAAGCAUAUCA